ACUGCACACUGCAGUCAGGGAUACUUGCCACUGUGGAGCUCGAUUUAGGCUACAUGUACCUCAAUUGCCUCCUACCCCUGCUCAUCGACUUGGUACUGGUACCCCAUCGAGCCAAAUGAACGUUAAUCAUUGUGUAUUUAUUCCUUGUGUUAUUUUUUAUAUUAUUUUUCAAACUUUCUCUCUGCGUUUUCAAGCAGCCAGCUUAAUUGUGACCUGCAUGAAUCAGGGUACACCUGGAGAGGUUUUUUGACAGUUUCUUGUCUCUCAUGAGAAGAAACUGUUUGACAUUGAGUAACACUGGACCUCCAACACCGGUUGGACCUCCUGGAUCUGGUGGACCUCCUGGACAGUCUGGAUCUACACCUGGUGGACAUCCCGGACCAACUGGAGAGGAACCUGGUUCACUUCACUGAUGUUCUUCAACUCCAGUCAAAUGGUCAAGGUGGCAGCAACAGUCAAGUGACUACGCUACUGAGGACAGUGAAUUACUCUGUCGAACUGUUCACCCCACAGCUGAGAGAGAAUGUGAGCACUGAGCAGGAAACUAACCAUACCCUGAACUCAUGAACCGAGCACAUGGUUCAUGCAGGUUAUACAGUUGAAGUUGGAGGUUUAUAUCCACCUUAGCCAAAUACAUUUAAACUCAGUUCUUCACAAUUCCUGACAUUUAAUCCUCGUAAAAAUUCCAUGUCUUAGGUCAGUUACGAUCACCACUUUUAUUUUAAGAAUGUGAAAUGUCAGAAUAGUAGAGACAAUUAUUUAUUUCAGCUUUUAUUUCUUUCAUCACAUUCCCAGUGGGUCAGAAGUUUACAUACACUCAAUUAGUAUUUGGUAGCAUUGUCUUUAAAUUGUUUAACUUGGAUCAAACUUUUCGGGUAGUCUUCCACAAUCUUCCCAUAAUAAGUUUGGUGAAUUUUGGCCUAUUCCUCCUGACAGAUCUGGUGUAACUGACUCAGGUUUGUAGGCCUUCUUGCUCGCACACACUUUUUCAGUUCUGCCCACAAAUUUUCUAUAGGAUUGCGGUCAGGGCUUUGUGCUAGCUUUGUGAUGGCCACUCCAAGACCUUGACUUUGUUGUCCUUAAGCCAUUUUGCCACAACUUUGGAAGUAUGCUUGGGGUCAUUGUCCAUUUGGAAGACCCAUAUGCGACCUAGCUUUAACUUCCUGAUUGAUGUCUUGAGAUAUUGCUUCAAUAUAUCCACAUCAUUUUCUAUUUUGUGAAGUGCACCAGCCCCUUCUGCAGCAAAGCACCCCCACAACAUGAUGCUGCCACCUCCGUGCUUCUUCACGGUUGGGAUGGUGUUCUUCGGCCUGCAAGUCUCCCCCUUUUUCCUCCAAACAUAACGAUGGUCUUUAAGGCUAAACAGUUGUAUUUUUGUUUCACCAGACCAGAGGACAUUUCUCCAAAGAGUACGAUCACCCCAUGUGCAGUUGCAAACCGUAGUCUGGCUUUUUUUGGCGGUUUUGGAGCAGUGGCUUCUUUCUUGCUGACCAGCUUUUCAGGUUGUGUCGAUAUAGGACUCGUUUUACUGUGGCUAUAGAUACUUUUGUAGCUGUUUCCUACAGCAUCUUCACCAGGUUCUUUGCUGUUGUUCUGGGAUUGAUUUGCACUUUUCACACCAAAGUAUGUUCAUCUCUAGGAGACGGAACGCGUCUCCUUCCUGAGCGGUAUGAUGGCUGCGUGGCCCCAUGGUAUUUAUACUUAUGUACUAUUGUUUGUACAGAUGAAUGCGGUACCUUCAGGCGUUUGGAAAUUGCUCCCAAGGAUGAACCAGACUUGUGGAGUUCUACCAUUUUCGUCUGAGGUCUUGGCUGAUUUCUUUUCAUUUUCCCAUGAUGUCAAGAAAAGAGGCACUGAAUUUGAAAGUAGGCCUUGAAAUACAUCCACAGGUACACCUCCAAUUGACUCAGAUGAUGUCAAUAGCCUAUCAGAAGCUUCUAAAACCAUGACAUAAUUUUCUGGAAUUUUCCAAGCUGUUUAAAGGCACAGUCAACUUAGUGUAUGUUAACUUCUAACCCACUGGAAUUGUGAUACAGUGAAUUAUAAGUGAAAUAAUCUGUCUGUAAACAAUUGUUGGAAAAAUUGGAUCUACAUCUACAAAGUAGAUGUACUAACCGACUUGGAAGAGCUAUAGUUUGUUAGCAAUAAAUUUGUGGAAUGGUUGAAAAAUUAGUUUCAAUGACUCCAACCUAAGUGUAUGUCAACUUCUGACUUCAACUGUAUAUUUAGGAGACAUUGAUGAGAAAGAAUGGCCAAGUGUUGAUAUUUGUAAAACACAGAGAGAGAGGUUGUGGUGAAGAAGGACAGGACACCACCCCGAGGACCAGUCAGACUGACCAAUGAGAACGCCCUACUUGACACCACCUUGGAGACAGCGAUCAGCAAGGACAGGAAUUACCCAAGUACAGUCCCACUCAGCAGCAGUGGCAUUAGGCUUCUUAGUGACAACAGGCUUAAAGAGGCGAAGCCUAAAAUCCAGAUGAUUCCGGUUGAUGAAGACCCAACUCAGGCGUUUCUUUCUCCUGCUACGUUAGGUUAAUUGGUCAGAGGGUGGAGAGGUCAAGCCAACGUUGCACCUAAUAUGGUGUCCAACUCCACCCACGCUGUAUGCUCCUGCACCAGAGAUCUGUAUAUAGUGAUGAGAUGCACAUGCCUCCGCCCUAACGUUGGGUGUUGUUGUCCCAAAUGCGGUAAGCUUAGGUAAAAAAAUAAGCCCAUAGAAACGCACUAGUCUUAUUUUGGACAGAUUUUGGCGAGCGUGAAACUACCUUCGCCGCUCCCUCUCUCCCUGCACCCAUCUCAUCAGCUUCACCCUGUUCAGGGGAAUCCAAGAGAGAAAGUUGAUGCACAACAACACUGUCGAACUACUAAGAGGGAAAGGAGUCUGACAGCCACAUCGCGGCCCACACAGUAAAACCCCCUGCCUAACAAAUAUCGUUACGUAUGCACGUUAACAAUCACUUUGCGCUAUACACAAAAUAUAUAAGUAACGACGCGACACUUGGUUUUGGUUUCAUAUAUCCCAUCCAUAACUCUAUUGCAGAAAUGCACAAUUAGUCUUGACAUUUGUUAUUAUUGUUUCUCUAUGUUGAGUCGACGUGUUAUAUUACGUUGUAACAGUCACUGGUAUCAUCUAACGUUAUAAUUGAACUAAUAUCCUUAUCAACAAACAGUGAAAGUUCUAGGUAAUGUCUCUGUUUGUCUCAGUUAGCGGCCCCAUGUCUGCUGCAUGGAAGCCAGCUGUGUUCUGGUGAAGGAGGUCCGACCGGAUUUCUGUUGUUAAAGCAUGGUUCCGGAGGGGAGUUGGGAAGUGCAACCCUGUUCACUGCGGAGGAACACUUUUUGAUUCACAUGUCGACAUUCCAAAGUACCUUUCAUACACUGAUACUGUUAAUGUAUGUAUUUCUGAUCUGAUCAGUACCCUGAAACGUUAUAUCACGAUCAUGUGUAUUGAAAAUGUAUGUCUUGCAAAACUCACCUUCUACCUGACAAGGGACAGUUCCAUACACUGAGUAUACCGCCAUACACUGAUAUACCAAACAUUAGGAACAACUUCCUAAUAGUGAGUUGCACCCUCCCCUUUUGCCCUCACAACAGCCUCAAUUGGUCGGGGCAUGGACUCGGCAAGGUGUCGAAAGCAUUCAACAGGGAUGCUGGCCCAUGUUGACUCCAAUGCUUCCCACAGUUGUCAAGUUAGCUGAAUGUCCUUUAGGUGGGCCAUUCUUGAUACAUGGGAAACGGUUGAGUGUUAAAAACCCAGCAGCGUUGCAGUUCUAUACACAAAGAGGUGCGCCUGGCACUUACUACCAUACCUCGUUCAAAGACACUUCUUUCCCAUCCACCCUCUGAAUGGCACACAUACACAAUCCAUGUGUGAAUUGUCUCCAGGCUUUAAAAUCCUUUAACCGGUCUCCCCUUCAUUUACAUACAGAUUGAAGUGGAUUUAACAAGUGACAUUAAUAAGGGAUCAUAGCUUUCACCUGGUCAGUGUGUCAUGGAAAGACCAGGUGUUCUUAAUGUUUGUGUACUCAGUGUAUAUUAUUGAGGUAAAACUCCCUCUUGUCACUCUUUUAUUUUUGAAGUUGAUUCAUGAGUUUAUGUUGCAUUCGGUUCUGCACAGUUUGUUUUAAUUUCAAUUCAGUUUAUUUGUCUAUUUUAAUACUUUUUGGUUUAUCUUCUCCUGGCAUAAUUAGUAUUUUUUUGCAAUUUGAAGGAAUAAAACUCCUAAUAUUUGCACCAUA